CAGUCGUAGUCAAAUUUGAACGAAGGAGUACUUUCUAAGUAAAAUGCUCUAGAAUUAAAUCUGAAAUUGGUAGCAGCUUCAGCAGAUACCAUACCUUAAGACCCGAGAUUUCUUCUCUGGCGUCGGUGGGUGGCCGAGCUAGCCGCACAGGAGUAGGGCGCAACGUGUGGAGAAUGGCGGGUUGGGGUAGGAAGAAGUAAGGGGCGAGGUCAACCUCUGACCGCCGGAGCAGAGUAUCCUGAAGUGCUUGUUCGCACAAGGUCGCGGCUUGGAACAGGGCGAGAUCCGCCAGAGCAGCACCGACGGUGACGAGACGACCAGGAGCUGGAACGGCACCUCUACUGGCCGUACUCGCACAGGUAGGCACCGGAUCUGGACCUCCGCCACGGUCGGCAAGCUGGAGGACGAUGAGCGAGAGGGUUGAUCCAGGAGGCGGCUGGCAGUCAAGCUAGAUUGGGGAAUUUUGGGCUGUGCUGCUGCUAUCGGAUGAAGGAAGAAGCAGAUUCUGAAAGGAAA
rnacentral:rRNA from 1 species